rnacentral:rRNA from 1 species
GACAGAGGGUGCAAACGUUGUUCGGAUUUACUGGGCGUAAAGCGCGUGUAGGCGGCUUGGCAAGUCGGUUGUGAAAGCCCACGGCUCAACCGUGGAAGCGCAUCCGAAACGGCCUCGCUCGAGUCUCGGAGAGGAAGGUGGAAUGCUUGGUGUAGAGGUGAAAUUCGUAGAUAUCAAGCAGAACACCUGCGGCGAAGGCGGCCUGCUGGACGAUGACUGACGCUGAGACACGAAAGCGUGGGGAGCAAACAGG